rnacentral:rRNA from 1 species
AACGAACGCUGGCGGCAUGCCUAAUACAUGCCAGUUGAGCGCCGACGGAGGGUGCUUGUGCCCACUGGAUGAGCGGCUGACGGGUGAGUAACGCGUGGGGAAUCUGCCAUUGAGCGGGGGACGACAUUUGGAAACGAAUGCUACUACCGCAUAAUAACUUUAAACACAAGUUUUAAGUUUGAAAGAUGCAAUUGCAUCACUCAAAGAUGAUUCCGCGUUGUAUUAGUUAGUUGGUGAGGUAAAGGCCCACCAAGGCGAUGAUACAUAGCCGACCUGGGAGGGUGAUUGGCCACCUUGGGAAUGAGACACGGCCCAAACCCCUUCGGGAGGCAGCAGUAGGGAAUUUUUGGCAAAGGACGGAAGUCUGACCGAGCCACGACGCGGUAGUGAAGAAGGGUUUCGGAUUGUAAAACUCUGUUUGUAGAGAAGAACGUCGGUGAGAGUGGAAAGCUCAUGAAGUGACGGUAACUACCCAGUAAGCAACGGCUAACUACGUG